UUAGCAAUUCUCUAUAAGAGAGUCGGGCUUGCGUGUGUUGCAACGUUAAUCGCCACUGUUUUAUCUAUAGUUAUAACAAUCCUGUUUGCAAGAGUUGAAGAACUUUAUCAAGAUAAAUUAAUGGUCUAGAGGUGACAGAAUGAGAAAGACUUUUGAGUGUCUUAGAAAUAUGAGGAUUUUGAAACCACAAGCAUGGGAAGAUAAGUAUAAAAUAAGAUUGGAAGAAAUGAGAAGUGUGGAGUUUAAAUGGCUCAAAAAGAGAUUAUAUUCACAAGCAUUUAUCACUUCUAAUUUUGGAGCUCACCUAUCUUCGUGGCGGCGGUUACUUUUGGGCUUUAAUCUUGAUUGGUGGUCAACUUACAGCGGGAGGGAUGCUUUCGGCGUUAGCCACUUUCAGGAUUCUUCAAGAACCGUUAAGGAAUUUUCCUGAUUUGGUUUCAGUGAUGGCUUAAACAAAAGCUUCUCUUGAUUGAAUCAUGGGUUUUCUGCAAGAGGAAGAGUUGCUAGAAGAUGCAACGAUUGUGUCACCACACGGGAUGUCUAAGGUGGCAAUUGAACUUAAAGAUGGUGACUUUCAGUGGGACCCAAGGCCGACAUUGUCUAAUAUCUAGAUGAAAGUUGAGAAAGGGAUGCGUAUGGCGGUUUGUUGCAGUGUGGGGUCCGGAGGAUAGAGUUUUCUUUCUUGUAUUCUUGGUGAAAUUCUGAAAAUCUAUGGUGAAUUAUGGUUUAGUUUCGAAUAUGUGGGUUUGCAGCUUACCUAUCCCAGUGAGCAUGGAUACAAUCAGGAAAUAAUGAAGAAAAUAUCUUAUUCAAUAAUCCAAUGGAUAAGGCUAAAUACAAAAAAAAAAAAAAAAAAAAAAAAAAAAAAAAAAAAAA